GCUGUCACUAGGGCGGGCUGUGGGUAGUGGCAGCUCAAUGGCGAAUUUAACUUUCUUACUAAAGUAGCCUUGGAAAAUACUGCCUCGGCCUGGUGGCGAGGGGAUCGGUGUGACUGGCCCAGGGGGUGGGCUGAAGGAGGGGGGACUCAACCCUUGUCAAGCCUGCCGCUCCACCUCCCGCCUCGGUGGAGCGGACGCAGGAGUCGGUAACCCUUACAAGAGCCAAUAACCCCAAACGCAUUCCCUUCUCGCCCGCACAGUCUCACAAGUGGAGGGACUUGGCCGCAGCCUUUCUACAGGCCCUUGCAAGAGGAAUCAUCUGGCGAUGGGAGACGUGGUUCCCUGAGGCUUGGGAAAUGAAGAAGGCGUUUUCCUGGGACACCAGCACAGCUGUCUACUUCUGGGCUCAGCCUGUGAACCUCUCCAGCUUUGGUUGCAGCCAGCUGAUACUUCUUCCCACAAGGACUGCUCUGGAAUAAGCUGGACAGAAAAGGUUUUGUUUGGUUUGUGAAUACCCGAGGCAAAAGUCUGACCUUAGUGAGGUCAAGAGAAAAAACCGUUCCUGAUCUCCCCAAGAUCUGGAGUUCCCCCUCUGUGCCCACACUGGGAAUCACUUGAAGAAGCACUUGAUUCUCUUCUUGAGCUUUUAUGACUUUUAGCAGUGUAAAAAGAGUCAAAACACAGCGUGGCAUCUUGGGAAAACCUGAAAUACAUAAAGACGUGAACACUGACAUCUAGCAGUAUGGUCCUAAACAGUUGACCACUUUGUGAAACCUCUCUUUGCAGAAAGCUUGCUUGGUUCAUGUCUUCAGUACCCUGUGUUUUGUUAUCUGUAGCCUGCAGGUUAGAGUGAUAUUUGCUUCUUUUUUUGUACUAUUUUAAUUUGGUGGAAGACAUUUUGUGACAGCUCAUGUUGCUGUCAUAUCUCUUAACAUGUACAGUGCAGUAUGUUCUCUUUCACUUGAGUGAUCUGAUAAAACCUUGUAUUUGGUGAAGGAGAUACAUGCUGACUUGUAUACUUUCUUACAAGAGAUUAGUAAAGAUGUUUUGAUUUAUUCAAUUCAUCUUUUAUUUGGCUUUUGGUGACACUUCCAUUUUAUAAGCUCAGAGUAUCUUCAGUAGUUGUUUUUCCAUGGUAAAAGCCAGCCAUUAUUAGAUCCUUCAGGCUUGCAAAUUAACAGUUAACAAUUAACAAGCUUUUAAAAUUUCCAUUCAUAUUCAGAGUUUUACAUUCAUUUCACAGACUGAGAUUAAAACUACUUUUGAAGAAAAUCUUGAAAGGGCUGCUAGAUAAUACAUUAACUGUUCACUCUUUCCCUGUUUAAUUAUAAAAUAUUCUGUGAUCACUGACAGCUGAGGAUGCUGAGCUGGAAUUCAUCUCUUGAGCGAGGGCAGCGGCUCGGCCCUGGGGAGGUUUCUCAUGAAUCCUUCCCCAGCAGGCUGCUGCCAGGCCACAGGGCUGCACCACAGCAGGGCUAUGAGAGUCAGGCAGGCUGCUUCGGCACAGAGCCACUGUGCAAAAUACCUGCUGGUGGACUCUGCGGUGCAUGGUUGAGAGUGAUCUUGCAUGGCAUGUAGGAGUCCUGUCUUACUGCAAAUGCUAAACAGUGCCAAUUCCCAGAUACAUCAGUCAAUUUUCAAAUGUCAUCAGUCUUCUUGUGCACAGGGUGCUUUUUAUGCCAUGGUGCAACAGUCAGUAUCCUGGAAUUGACUGAGCCAGGCUUUCUUCACCCAUACAAAGAUGCUCUUUUAGUUGGUUAGUUCUUUGUGUAGAGCUGGGAGACUCCAUCUGGCCUUGGAGAAGUUCCUCUGACAGCUCACCUGCUGGCACUGAACUCUGAUUAGGCUGCUCAUGUAUAGUCUCUUACUUGAAAUUCACAGGAAAGGCUAUUGAAAUAUGCAUUAUGCAGUACUAUUUACCAGAAUGUAUUUGUCCUUUUUAUGUAAACCCUAAAUUAUUCAGUAAGUCUAUUAUUUUCUGAGAUACUGUUGAUUUCAAGUUGAGUAUAAUACCAAAUAUUUUUUAGUUUACUCUGAGAUGUUAAAUGAUAUGUAAAUAAAUAUAUAGACUCC